rnacentral:lncRNA from 1 species
CUACGUCAGUAGUCUAUUAUAUAAUAGGUUCAACUGUUCAUGCUGUUGGCGGCAAUUUCAAAUUAGAAAAAGAAAUUUUCGCAGCUUUUGAAUUUGGAGGCAGGUGUGCAAAUUAGCGGUGGUCCGAGGUCCGCGACCUUCCACUUUUGCAAGCGGAAUUUCGACCAGGAUAGUUGGUUUCUAGCUACGCCCAACGUAGUCACCUUCCACUUGAAAGAAAAUAAGAAAUUACUUUGCAAACCUUCCAUGCAAGUCACCAAAGUCUCCAAUUAAACGAGCUAAAAACUUAUUUUUAUCAUUAUUAUUCAUGACAACGAUGUUCAUUUUGUUCAACCGCUAGCUUUAUACAGAAAGUCACCGACAAAUGUUGUAUAAAUUCGAGUAAAAUCGUAUCUGAUUGACAAAAACAACAUUGUAAACACAUAACAAUGGCGGCCGUGAAGACAAAAGUUUACAAUAUCGGAUCCGAUUCCGGAAGCGGAUAAGAUAAUUCCGGGUUUGGCGAUCAAUUACAAAAUAAAUCAAAGCAGG